CGGCACAUAUGUUAGUGUUCAUGUCCCAAAUGAGGAUAGACCAAGGUAUCGGACAAGGAAAGGUUCUAUUGCCAUGAAUGUACUAGGUGUGUGUAAUCCUAAUAUGGAAUUUAUAUAUGUGCAACCUGGUUGGGAAGGAUCUGCUCAUGAUGGUCGUGUCCUUCGAGAUGCCAUUAGUAGGCCUCAUGGUUUAAAAGUUCCUCAAGGUUCCUAUUAUUUGGUUGAUCGCAUAUACAAAUUGUGAGGGUUUCUUAGCGCCAUAUAGAGGCCAUCGAUAUCACCUGAAAGAGUGGGGAGAUCGACUUCCAAUUAGCGCUGAAGAGUAUUUCAACAUGAAACAUUCCAAAGCUAGAAAUGUAAUUGAAAGAUUCUUUGGAUUAUUGAAAGGAAGAUGGGGUAUUCUAAGAUCCCCAUCUUUCUUCCCAAUACGUACUCAAGGACGUAUAGUUCAAGCGUGUGUCCUAUUACAUAACGUGAUUCGAAAGUAUAUGUCAACCGAUUACACUACAUAUUUUGAUUCCGAGAAUGAAGAAGAAAGUGAUGACGAGGACAGUGAUGAGGAAGUGGAAUAUAUUACUGUUAUUGCAACAUCCGAUGCUUGGACUAAUUAUCGAAACACUUUAGCACAAAUUUUGUUUAAUAACCGGAGAGCUAGAUGUAUUGCAAACACAUGAGUGUUUAUUUAUACUUUCAGUUUUUCACAAGAAUGUUGUUUAUUUAUCUUUAUUUAAUGGUGUAUUUUUAUUAAAAGAAUUAUUUCUAUGUCUUGUUUGUGACACAAGAGCGACAUUUUAUUAUUUAAUUAGGUUGAUUGGAUCUAAUUAUAUAAAUUUUAAUUAGCAAAUCUAAUUAUUUAAAGUAUUUUGUUUUGCAUGUGGAUAUAAAAACUGUACAGGAUGGAUAUUGGUCAAAUUUCUCAAGGAGGAAGAGGAAAAAAUAAACGUUCAUGGACAAAAGCUGAAGAAGAAGUUCUAAUUAAUAGCCUAUUGGAGAUGAGUACAGACCCGUCUUGGAAAGCUGAUGGAAGUUUUAAGAGUGGCUUUAAAAAUAAGUUGGAAGAGAAAUUGAAUGAUAAAUUUCCCGGAUGUGGUCUCAAAGCCGUUCCUCACAUCGAGUCAAAAAUCAAAUGGUUUAGGGACAAAUAUAAUGUGCUAUCAGAAAUGUUUCGUACUUCAUGAUUUUCGUGGGAUGAAGAGAAAAAAAUAAUACUAUGUGAGAGACAAUCUUAUGAUGAUUUUUGUAAGCAACACAAAAAUGCUCAAGGGUUAUGGAAUGUUCCAUUUCCUUUCUUUGACCAAUUAACUAUUUAUGGAUGUGAUCGAGCUACAGGGGCUAAUUCCGAAACUUUUGUACAAGCUGUGGGUAAUCAAAAAAAUGAGACUAUUAACUUGGAUAAGGAUCAAACUGAUGAAGAUGAUGACAUUGAGGAUACCGAGUCAGUGAAUCAAUCAAAUCAAUCAACUCCAGGUGAACCUUCUUCAAAGAGAUCAAAGAAGGAGAAGACUCCAAAAGGAAAACUGAGGAAGAGAAAGUUACCAGAGGUUGUAGUUUUAACUUCUUCUUUUAACAAUAUGUGAAUUUCUCGAACAGUGUCCGUGCGAUCGAACGGAAUUUAUGUGCGUUCGCACGGGUCAGCAAAGUUGCCUCCAAAGUCAAGCAGGUUCGUGUGCUCGUGCCCCAGAAGUGUGUGUUCGCACAAAUUUGGAAAAUCGAUGCAGGAACUAUGAGUGAUUUUGUGCGAUCGCACCACAGAGGAGCCCGCUCGCACGGAAUUUCAG